CAUUGCCUUUUGCUUCUCAUCAGUACGUCGUCGUAUUUUACACUUCUCCUUGAUGAUUGUUCAUCUUCCAUUGACGCGGUGAUAUCUAUUUCAAUUGCAAACUUAAUACCCUCUUCUUUUAAAUUUUCAAAGAUAAGUGGGGAUUUUCCGGAAAUUGUAUUUUCUAUAAAUGGAAAUUUUCUUUUAAACUUUACAUGACUGCUGGUUCUGUGAUCAAAAUGUUAUAAGCUAAAUUGUUAACUUAGAGCUUUUCAAUUCUUCUAGGGUAUGUAAAAUACCAGGAUCAGUUCUUAGCUGUAUCUUAGAGUGAAUAACAGUAGUAGUAUUGUUAUCUUGAACCCAAGGAUUCAAGUUUCAAAUACAUGUUCAGGAGCUACUAAGACUAAGAACACUCUGCAAGUUUCAAGAGGAUUAUAUAUUUUGAUUAUGUUUAUGUGAAUUUAUGUUUUUAUUCUUUUAUACCAUGAUGGAUAUGCUCACAAGUGUUCUAUUAAUGAAUAAUUUGAAUUUUCAGCAUAUAUCUAUUAAUGAAUAAUUUGAAUUUUCA
rnacentral:misc_RNA from 1 species